GGUGAUAUAGCCAAGUGGUUAAGGCAAAGGUCUGCAAAACCUUCAUCCUCGGUUCAAAUCCGAGUAUCACCU
rfam:Halobacillus sp. BAB-2008 contig34, whole genome shotgun sequence.